rnacentral:rRNA from 1 species
AUUGAACGCUGGCGGAAUGCUUUACGCAUGCAAGUCGAACGGCAGCACGGACUUCGGUCUGGUGGCGAGUGGCGAACGGGUGAGUAAUACAUCGGAACGUGCCCAAUCGUGGGGGAUAACGUAGCGAAAGCUACGCUAAUACCGCAUACGAUCUAAGGAUGAAAGCGGGGGAUCGCAAGACCUCGCGCGAAUGGAGCGGCCGAUGGCAGAUUAGGUAGUUGGUAGGGUAAAGGCCUACCAAGCCGACGAUCUGUAGCUGGUCUGAGAGGAUGAUCAGCCACACUGGGACUGAGGAACGGCCCAGACUCCUACGGGAGGCAGCAGUGGGGAAUUUUGGACAAUGGACGCAAGUCUGAUCCAGCCAUUCCGCGUGCAGGAUGAAGGCCCUCGGGUUGUAAACUGCUUUUGUACAGAACGAAAAGGCUCUGGUUAAUACCUGGGGCUCAUGACGGUACUGUAAGAAUAAGCACCGGCUAACUACGUGCCAGCAGCCGCCGUAACAC